AGCUCCUCCUGCCCUCGUGGUGGGAUGGGGUCAAUCCCAGUGCUCCACUGCUCUGUGCCGCUUGGGUGCUGGGUCUGUAAUCAUUUACCCCAUGCACAUGGGUGGUAUAUGAGGGGCCUGCUGGGUGUUGGGGGGUUUUACAGUUUGGAAGAGUCGCAAAAUCUGGUGACAGCAAAGCGCUGUGCGGGACGGGGCUGCUGCAGCCCUGGGACCUCACUGCAGGAUGCACACGCGUGCCCAUGCUGCAUGGCAGUGAGCGGUGCAGGGCUGCUGUGCACAUGGACUUGGGCACUCCGUGUAUCCUGGUGCUGGUGUUCGGUUUAAUGAGCACUAAAUAUCGAUCUCGCUGAAGGCAACCCCACGUAACCCCCUUUGGGGACGGGACACGGUGCUCAGCACAGCCACGUUUCAGCUCCCUGGUAGCCACUGCGGUUGUCCCUCAUCCCCACGGUGCUCAGCCCGCUCCAGGCUCAUCUCCAUCCCCAUCGCUCGCUGGUGGGCACACACCGGGGGAACGGGCAGGAGGGCAGCGCAAGGAGAGGGCAGGGGCAGGUGGGGUCCCCUCGGUGCCACUGCGGUGCCACCCCGCUGCGUGCCAGGGCACGGGGCAGGGACGCGGGGUGCCAGGGCUGCAGGGGGUGGGGCCGUGGGGUGAUGGCGAGGCCGCGGGGUGACCCUGGCCCCUCCGCACCGCCCCAGCCCCGCCGGGCGCGCCGCGUUCCCUGCCUUGUUUUCAUGGUCUCACCCAGCUCUGACCUGCCUCAAAUGUUGACACAAUGUCACGUUUCCGACUGCAGCCUUUCAUGUGCAGCCGGAGGCUAAAUGCGGCGGCUGGUUCCUGGAAAAAGACGUGCCUGGCACCCUUUCAGCAGCAACCCGAUCCCCAUGCAGGCUUGGCACAGCAGCUGAAUAACAUGGCAAUAACUCUUUCAGCAGCGUUUCAACCCAUAAAUAGGGCUUCCCGAGCACCCCCUUGAAGGAAGGCGAGGAGGGAGACACAAGGAUUAUUUAAAAAAAAAUUUAAAAAAAAAAUUGAAGAAAAACAAACCAGAGCACGAGAAAAGCGAACAGGAGGAAGCAGCCCCAUCAGAAACAGAUCAAAGGGAAGCGGGGUGACGCUGCACAGGGUCUGGGGAACAGGAGAGGGAUUGCCUCAAAAGGAAAGCACUGCACAGGGAGUUUUGCCGCCCGGGCUCUGCUCUGUGCCAUCCCCGUGCAGGUUGGGGGGAGCUCUGUGGUGAGGACCCCCGGCCCUGCAGGAUGCACUGGGAGCUCCCCACCACCUGUUGGGAAAGCUCCUCCACCGGCCCAGGGUGGCUGCAGGCGUGCCCGGGAGCUGCUGAUUUGCAUUAUGCAUGGACCAGGGCCUAAAAUAAUCCCCAGUGACGCACUUUUUUUUUUUUUUUUUCCUGUGAUUUUUUUUUUUUUCUCCUUUUUGUUUCUUUCAGAACUCCAUUUUUUGUGACUUUUCAGGAACGGGCAUCCCAGGGGCUCCUGGCUCCCCAAACCGGGGCAGGCACGGGGCACGGAGCGGGGACGCAGCCCGGGUGGGAGCGGUGCCCUCCUGCGCUGCCCCCGCUCUCGUCUCCCAGCGUGUAGCUACAAGUGCCAUGUGUUUACAAACGCAGCAUUGCAAGAUCCCUUGAACUGUGUCCUAGUACAAAAGAGGCUUUGAAACAAGAACCACGUUGUCAUGGCAUGUUUCAGGCCAGCAGCACCAGACUGAACCAGAUAAUUGCUGUUUCUCCUUUAGCUACUGUGUUGUGGGAGAAGGCGUAAGGUUGAGCAAGGCUCGGCCCUUGAUGGGGGCUCGGGGCUGAGAGGGGGUGGUUGGGGCUGGGGUACAAUGGGCUCUCAGCACACCCACGGUGGGGUCUGAGGAACCAGGAAGGAAAGGUACAGGCACAGCGCGGUGUGAAAGGCAGCGGAUUCCUGGAGCAUUGCUGGUCCUUGGCACAGGUGCUCGUCCCAGGGGCAGGCGGUGGGGCCGCUGCCCAGCGCUUCCCGCUUAUCCCUGGAUGCGCUCCAGCGCACGUGAGCAGCACGAGCCCGUGGGGAGUGCCGGGAGGCGCCGCUCGGAGGGGCUUUCCAGCCACAUCCACGUCUGAACCUCGCAGUGAGGCGAAGGCGUUGGGGAGAGGCCGAGAUGGAGAUCUGCUCACAUCCCGGAGCGCUCGGAGCGAUGACUCAAAGGAUUCCUGGCGUUACUGCGCUGCGAGGUGCAGCGCGCUGCCACCGCCGCCGUCAGCAGAACUGCGCUCCCUCGGACAGCUGCGAGCGCUCGCAGGUUUAUAGGGCUUAUUAGGCAAUUUCCUAUUAAAAAUGUUUAUGUGAACAUA